GACGAACGCUGGCGGCGUGCCUAAUACAUGCAAGUAGAACGCACAGUUUAUACCGUAGCUUGCUACACCAUAGACUGUGAGUUGCGAACGGGUGAGUAACGCGUAGGUAACCUGCCUGGUAGCGGGGGAUAACUAUUGGAAACGAUAGCUAAUACCGCAUAAUAUUAAUUAUUGCAUGAUAAUUAAUUGAAAGGUGCAAUUGCACCACUACCAGAUGGACCUGCUUUGUAUUAGCUAGUAGGUGAGGUAACGGCUCACCUAGGCGACGAUACAUAGCCGACCUGAGAGGGUGAUCGGCCACACUGGGACUGAGACACGGCCCAGACUCCUACGGGAGGCAGCAGUAGGGAAUCUUCGGCAAUAGACGAAAGUCUGACCGAGCAACGCCGCGUGAGUGAAGAAGGUUUUCGGAUCGUAAAGCUCUGUUGUAAGAGAAGAACGGGUGUGAGAGUGGAAAGUUCACACUGUGACGGUAUCUUACCAGAAAGGGACGGCUAACUACGUG
rnacentral:rRNA from 1 species